rnacentral:rRNA from 1 species
AGAGUUUGAUCAUGGCUCAGAUUGAACGCUGGCGGAAUGCUUUACACAUGCAAGUCGAGCGGCAGCGCGGGGCAACCUGGCGGCGAGCGGCGAACGGGUGAGUAAUACAUCGGAACAUAUCCAUUUGUGGGGGAUAGCCCGGCGAAAGCCGGAUUAAUACCGCAUGAGCUCGGGAGAGGAAAGCCGGGGACCGCAAGGCCUGGCGCGAAUGGGUUGGCCGAUGUCCGAUUAGCUUGUUGGUGAGGUAAAGGCUUACCAAGGCGAUGAUCGGUAGCUGGUCUGAGAGGAUGAUCAGCCACACUGGGACUGAGACACGGCCCAGACUCCUACGGGAGGCAGCAGUGGGGAAUUUUGGACAAUGGGGGCAACCCUGAUCCAGCCAUUCCGCGUGAGUGAAGAAGGCCUUCGGGUUGUAAAGCUCUUUUGUCCGGAGCGAAAAGGUUACGGUGAAUAUCCGUGACUACUGACGGUACCGGAAGAAUAAGCACCGGCUAACUACGUGCCAGCAGCCGCGGUAAUACGUAGGGUGCGAGCGUUAAUCGGAAUUACUGGGCGUAAAGCGUGCGCAGGCGGUUUUGUAAGCCAGACGUGAAAGCCCCGG